UCCUGGACAUGGUGAACUGAGGAACCAGAGCAAUCAAUAUGAUGAGGAGUCUGAAAAUGAAAAGAUUUUAACUUCCUGAAAGGUGCAGCCGCGCCUCAACUCAGAAUCAGGAGCCUUCAACAGUUCUGCUGCAUGUGCAUCACAAGACCUCUGAGGCUGCUCUGCAACUAAUUUAAUAAUCCUCUAAUUUUAUCUGGAGCCAAAAUGCAUGAAAAUAAACUCAUCUUAUCACUUC